AGCUAGUGGGCAGGAGGCCUGCUGUGGGCACAUGCCGCCACAGCAGGGGCCAACGCAGCCAUGACCAAUGGCUUUGAAGGGAACCGUAGCAAAGCGUGGAUGACGGGCACCUGAGCCGGGACACACCAGAGGGUACGAUGGCCAAGCUGCUGCGAGUCAGAAACGGACAGAGGGCAGAAUAAGAGACAAGAUAACAGGAAGGACCGGUCCUGAACACGCCUGUCCACUGGGAUCCAUUUUAUACUGUGCGUAACCCCACCCAGCACAUUCAGCCACAUACACACGCUCACACACAGAGGUGUUUGUGCAUAAGCAGGCACAACACUCACGGUAGCACCCACCACCCAUGCACUUUGUUCCCCAGAAGAGCCUGAGCUCUAAGCUGACCUCUGAACCUGUGCGUCUCUAGAGCGGAGCAUCCUGACCAUCCCAAUACGAAUCUUUGUGUUCCUAUGGCAAAAGUGGUCACACCACACCACUGGCCUCCAACACACAUCUUUCAAAUACACAAAACCUUUGAACACACAAGCACACGGCCUUCAAGGAUCAUUAUGCAUCAUGGCUUCAGGAAGUAGUCCUUUAGUAAAAAGGUAUCACUGAGGCAAAAUAAACAAGCAAAUGUUCUGGAUUCUAAACGCGUCUUUCACCUGCAUCAUUAACAGUAAUCAGAGAGUAAGGGUCAGAAGACCACAGAGAACCUGUUUGACCACUGGAGGCUGCUAAUGUUAGGUCUGCAAUUCUGAGAGCAUUACAGUACAAGACAAAAAGAUAACCUCUGCUUUUGCCUGAUGAAGACCAAAUAACGGUAGACACCUCUGGGUUAGAUGACAUAAAAGAUAGGAGCAGCUUAUGGAUUUGAAAAUGUGAGGCCAAUGCUUAUGUCUUAAAUCUGGAUUCCUUUUAAAGGCCAGCAGGGUUGCAAAAAGAAGUCUAGAAGAAGACUUUGAGCACUUGGACUACAUACGCUCCCGAUCUUAUCAAAUGACACAGAUUCUGAACAUGUUGGUCUCUGAAUACUGUUAAACAGACAAUAUUGCCACUGUGUCAGUGAGCUAUAACCUCAGUUUCUCCUCCUCGUCCGGUUUCCAAA